UGUGCCAUCUUGCAAUGUUUAGUGGAGUGUCAGUAGAAUAAAUCUUGUAUAUUGCAGCCUAUAUAAAGGCAUCGUUUAUAUUAAUGAAUAUUGCUAAGAAAGUUUACAACAAUGUAGUCUCUGUGAGUUAUUUGUUCAUUCCUCUCUACUCUCUCUAUGCGAAAUCCUACAUUUGGUAUUAGAGCUAGGGUAGAGAGAGAGUUGUUAGAGUACAAAGAGAGGAUAGAAAAAAUAACUAGAGAGAGACUUUUUUUUUUUUUUUUGUUUUGUUUAUGUUGCUAAGGUUUUUGCGAAGCUUCUUGAAUCUGUGAUUCCUGUGUGUGAGGAAGAAGAAGCUAAAGAUUCGGUUCUUAGAUACGUUUCCGCUGGUGUUGUAGAAGCAUUUUCUCUCAAUAUUGUCUGCAAGGUGAUUUGAAGUUUCAAUGGAGUUGAUGGUGUUGUCGACUAUUUUCAUGACUCUACAAAUGCUUGUUUUCUUGAGAAGUUAUUAUGACUAGGGUGAUGUGAACAAUACUUCUAGCAUGAAGAAUACGUUAUAAAAAAGUACCCAUAAGGUGUUUGUUCUUAUUACUCAAUAGAGUUGGACCUUGAGACAGUACGUUGGGUGGAGCAUUUGUUUUUUCAAGGAAGAUUGAUAGUUUUACAGCAGCUAUGGCAUCAGCAGAAGAAUGGCCAUUGUCUUUUUGUGGAUAUUUAUACUUCUAGAUGCACCAAAUUCCCUGAAGUUGCGCAGGCUGGGUACAUAGAAGGUGAAAGUAGAUUCCCUACUCGCAGUGAUACAAUUAAGAUUAAGAAGUUCCUUAUGUCUUCGGGAGAUUAAGAAGUUCCUUAUGUCUUUGGGAUUAGUAUUUGCUUCUGUGUUUGCGGAAUUGAGGUUGCAUUUUUUUAUGUUUUUCGAAUAUCAUGGGUGAAAGAAAUGUAUGUUUGAGUGUGUAAUACUCAAUUUCCGGUUCAUGGGCCAUUAGAAGACAGACACAAAAGUUGAGUUUGAGACAACACGAAGGUAACCGAAAGUGCAGCGGUCGAGCAACCCGAUUAUAGCCAGAAGAUAAGUUCCAUUCAUUCAUAUAUUUGUGGAGUUACUGUUCCAGUUAGAGAUUUUUCUUAUCAUUCUUAAUGAGUCAGUAAGUGGAGUUGGUACUUAUAUGGGCUAAAGCAUGACAAAUAUGUUACCUUUAAAUUGGUGAUUUGUGUUGUUGGCUAAGGUUCUUUCAGUCCAGAAUGGUGAUGACUGGGUGUGGUACAGUACCAUUGGUACAGUGAUGUUUCACAUUAUUUGCUAGGUCUCCUUCACAAGGCGCUGAUGUUCCCAAGCCGAAACUAUAGGGGUAUCUGGUGGCGCAAUGUUUUUGUGUAGCAUGGUUUUAUACAUGGCAGUUAAUGUAUAGUUUAGUUCCUUGAUGGUUUUACAUAAAGUUCUGAAGUAAUGUGGCGGUGAUAUUCAAAUUCCAACAAGAGUUAGAUAUGGGGUCUUAACUUCAUCAGUAAAACAGUCAGCUGUGAAGAUCAAGUGGUGAUCAGAAUGGUGAUAGCAUUGAUCUAAUAGUAGUGGUCAAGUGAAGUCGCUAAGGUGGGUGUGCAAGAAUUUGUGUACACCAUAAAGUGGAGCAUUUUUGGUAUUGUUGGUUUCUCGUAUGGGUAAUAAUAUAUUUUAUUCUUUUUCUUGUUCAUGAUAGAUGAAUUUGUCGGAGACCAAGCAGUGGUCAGAUGCGGUAAUACAGACCUCUAAUGGUCAGAUGUGAUACUGCAGACCAAGUAAUUGUCACUUGUCAGAUGCGAUAAUGCACACCUGUAAUGGUCAGAUGCGAUAGUGAAGAUCCAGUUAUGUUCAAGUAUGGCUUGCAAAUGUUUUUUUAGUCGUUGGUAAUGAUGGGGUGUUGAAGUUUGUUCAGGAAAUUGUUCAGGAUCUAUGAAUUAGGUUCGGUUGUGUGGCGCAUAAAGUUUGAUCAGCAGUAUCAGUAUGUCUCUCGGGUAGAGAGUUAGAAUCCAAGGAUACAACCAGAAGUAACAGUGAAGCAAGUUCAACCAGGUACUUGUUGAUUUGAGGUGUGAAAGAAACCGAAGUUGAUACCAACAAUUAAGUUAAUGUCAUACUAAUAGUUGAAGUCAUGAUCAACAGCAAGAAUAUUGAACUAGAUUCGGGAAGUGUUGCAGCUGCGCUAGUUAUGUGGUGGAGAAUUUAUUUUUUUCUAAUUUGAGUAGUUUGAGUUUAAGUGAGGAUGUUGGAGUUUGAACUAAACUCAAACUACCUAGUAAGACAAAGUCUUAGGACUUAGUGGAGCGUUAACAAUGUGUGAGUAAUACUCGCACAUAUUAUUGUUUACCGACUAUGUUUUAGUAGUAACUAUUAGUCCUAGGCUUUAAGAGAGUACCAAUCAUGGUUGUAAUGCCUAUUAACUAGAAGUCAGUUGUGCCAUCGUGCAGUGUUUAGUGGAGUGUCAGUAGAAUAAAUCUUGUAUAUUGAGCCUAUAUAAAGGCAUCAUUUACAUUAA